AUGGAUUAAAUUGGUAACGUCCGG
rnacentral:siRNA from 1 species